AUUUGUUAUGCAAAGAAAAUAAAAAUAGAACAAGUGAAAUUUUAUGUAAUAAAUUCGUCAAGAGCAAUUUAAAUUACAAUAUUGCUAACCCAUUGUGACGCUAAUUGAUAAACCAAUAUUUAAACUAUAUAUUUUAUCCUUUUAUAUUUCUUUUCUUGUCUAAUUUAAUAGGAAGCUUUAAGUAUUUAUGAUACUUUUGAUUUAUUGUGUUUGUAGGAGAAGAAUAGGGGAGUAAAGUAGAGAGAGGCCGGCGCAUGAGGGGAGGCUGCCCUUUGGCAGCUGAGAAGAAAAGAAAUGAAAAAAAAUAUAAAGAAAGCUAAAGGAAAGAAGGAUCCAAGGUGGAAAACGUGGGAUUAAGCAGAAAUAAAGGGACAGCUACGGAACAAGGAGAAUCCAAGGCAUGUUAGAAAAUGAGCUGUAGAGAGGAUUGGUCAGCACGGGUAAUGAAAGCAGGUGAAAGAGAGAGUAAAAAGAAUAAAAUAAUGAGGAGUGGGCUGCCUUUGGCAGCUGUGAGGAUAGCUGGAGAAAACGUGCGUGAGGAUGAUGAUGCUCUGGCA
rnacentral:lncRNA from 1 species